rnacentral:rRNA from 1 species
GCAGAUAUAUACGUUAGUGGCGGACGGGUGAGUAACGCGUGGAGAACCUGCCGUAUGCAGGGGGACAACACCUGGAAACGGGUGGCUAAUACCGCAUAAGCGCACAUGAUAGCAUUAUCGAGUGUGAAAAGCUUAAAUGCGGCAUACGAUGGCUCCGCGUCUGAUUAGCCAGUUGGCGGGGUAACGGCCCACCCAAAGCGACGAUCAGUAGCCGGCCUGAGAGGGUGAACAGCCACAUUGGGACUGAGACACGGCCCAGACUCCUACGGGAGGCAGCAGUGGGGGAUAUUGCACAAUGGGGGAAACCCUGAUGCAGCGAACCGCCGCGUGAGUGAAGAAGUAUUUCGGUAUGUAAAGCUCUAUCAGCAGGGAAGAAGAUGACGGUACCUGCACAAGAAGCCCCGGCUAACUACGUGCCAGCAGCUGC